rnacentral:rRNA from 1 species
UACGGGGGGGGGCAAGCGUUGUUCGGAAUUACUGGGCGUAAAGGGCUCGUAGGUGGCCAACUAAGUCAGACGUGAAAUCCCCAGGCUCAACUUGGGAACUGCGUCUGAUACUGGAUGGCUUGAAUUCGGGAGAGGGAUGCAGAAUUCCAGGUGUAGCGGUGAAAUGCGUAGAUAUCAGGAGGAACACCGAUGGCGAAGGCAGGUCUCUGGGACGGUACUGACGCUGAGACGCGAAAGCGUGGGGAGCGAACAGG